rnacentral:rRNA from 1 species
UACGUAGGUGGCAAGCGUUGUCCGGAAUUAUUGGGCGUAAAGGGCGUGUAGGUGGGAUCUUAAGUCAUGUGUCUAAGUGCGGUGCUCAACGCCGUAUAGGCGCAAGAAACUGAGAUUCUUGAGUGCAGGAGAGGAAAGUGGAAUUCCCAGUGUAGCGGUGAAAUGCGUAGAUAUUGGGAGGAACACCAGUGGCGAAGGCGACUUUCUGGACUGUGUCUGACACUGAGGCGCGAAAGCUAGGGGAGCGAACGGGAUUAGAUACCCCGGUAGUCCUAGCCGUAAACGAUGGGUACUAGGUGUAGAGGGUAUCGACCCCUUCUGUGCCGGAGUUAACGCAAUAAGUACCCCGCCUGGGGAGUACGGCCGCAAGGUUGAA